rnacentral:rRNA from 1 species
AAAUUGAAGAGUUUGAUCAUGGCUCAGAUUGAACGCUGGCGGCAGGCCUAACACAUGCAAGUCGAACGGUAACAGGAAGCGCUUGCUGCUUCGCUGACGAGUGGCGGACGGGUGAGUAAUGUCUGGGAAACUGCCUGAUGGAGGGGGAUAACUACUGGAAACGGUAGCUAAUACCGCAUAACGUCGCAAGACCAAAGAGGGGGAUCUUCGGGCCUCUUGCCAUCGGAUGUGCCCAGAUGGGAUUAGCUUGUUGGUGGGGUAACGGCUCACC